rnacentral:rRNA from 1 species
CCCGCUGAACUUAAGCAUAUCAAUAAGCGGAGGAAAAGAAACCAACAGGGAUUACCUCAGUAACGGCGAGUGAAGCGGUAACAGCUCAAAUUUGAAAUCUGGCUCUUUCAGGGUCCGAGUUGUAAUUUGUAGAAGAUGCUUUGGGCGUGGCUCCGGUCUAAGUUCCUUGGAACAGGACGUCAUAGAGGGUGAGAAUCCCGUACGUGACUGGGUGCCUUCGUCCGUGUAAAGCUCUUUCGACGAGUCGAGUUGUUUGGGAAUGCAGCUCAAAAUGGGUGGUAAAUUUCAUCUAAAGCUAAAUAUUGGCCAGAGACCGAUAGCGCACAAGUAGAGUGAUCGAAAGAUGAAAAGCACUUUGGAAAGAGAGUUAAACAGUACGUGAAAUUGUUGAAAGGGAAGCGCUUGCAAUCAGACUUGCGUGCGGUUGAUCAUCCGAGGUUUUCCCCGGUGCACUCGAUCGUACUCAGGCCAGCAUCGGUUUGGGCGGUUGGAUAAAGGCCUUGGGAAUGUGGCUCCUCUCGGGGAGUGUUAUAGCCCUCGGUGCAAUGCAGCCUGUCCGGACCGAGGACCGCGCUUCGGCUAGGAUGCUGGCGUAAUGGUUGUAAGCGACCCGUCUUGAAACACGG